rnacentral:sRNA from 1 species
ACAACUAGAACCUUAACCGGAUCUUAAAAGCCUAAGUAGUGUUUUCUUGUUAGUAGAUACAAAGACAAAGACUCAUACGGAGUUUAGCUACACCAUAAAAGCUUUGAGAAGCAAGAAUAAGCUUGGUUAGUGUUUUGUAGUCAAAUAUGACUAGAUGUCAUGUGUAUGAGUGAGUAUAACAACUAGAACCGCAACCUGAUCUUAAAAGCCUAUGUAUUGUACCCUUGUUAGAAGAUACAAAGACAAAGACUCAUACGAACUUCAACUAUAUCAUCAAUGCUUUGAGAAGCAAGAAGAACCUUGGUUAGUGUUUUGGAGUCAAAUAUAAAUUGAUGUCAUGUGUAUGAUUGAGUAUAAGAACUUAAACCGCAACUGGAUCUUAAAAGCCUAAGUAGUGUUUUCUUGUUAGUAGAUACAAAGACAAACACUCAUACGGAGUAUAGCUACAGCAUAAAAGCUUUGAGAAGCAAGAAUAAGCUUGGUUUGUGUUUUGGAGUCAAAUAUGACUAGAUGUCAUGUGUAUGAGUGAGUAUAACAACUAGAACCGCAACCGGAUCUUAAAAGCCUAAGUAUUGUGUCCUUGUUAGAAGAUACAAAGACAAAGACUCAUACGGACUUCGGCUACACCAUCAAAGCUUUGAGAAGCAAGAAGAAGCUUGGUUAGUGUUUUGUAGUCAAAUAUGACUUGAUUUUAUGUUUAUGAUUGAGUAUAAGAACAUAAACCGCAACCGGAUCUUAAAAGCCUAAGUAGUGUUUCCUUGUCAAUAGAUACAAAGACAACGACGCAUACUGACUUCAGCUACACCAUCAAAGCUUUGAGAAGCAAGAAGAAGCUUGGUUAAUGUUUUGGAGUCAAAUAU